UCCGCAAUGGGCGAAAGCCUGACGGAGCAAUACCGCGUGAGGGAGGAAUGCUUUUGGGUUGUAAACCUCUUUUCUCAGGGAAGAAGAUCUGACGGUACCUGAGGAAUAAGUAUCGGCUAACUCCGUGCCAGCAGCCGCGGUAAUACGGAGGAUGCAAGCGUUAUCCGGAAUCAUUGGGCGUAAAGCGUCCGCAGGUGGUUUCCAAAGUCUGCUGUUAAAGACUGGAGCUCAACUCCGGAACGGCGGUGGAAACUUGGAAACUAGAGUUCGGUAGGGGUAGCAGGAAUUCCCAGUGUAGCGGUGAAAUGCGUAGAUAUUGGGAAGAACAUCGGUGGCGAAGGCGUGCUACUGGACCGUAACUGACACUCAGGGACGAAAGCUAGGGGAGCGAAAGGGAUUAGAUACCCCUGUAGUCCUAGCUGUAAACGAUGGAAACUAGGUGUGGCUUA
rnacentral:rRNA from 1 species